rnacentral:lncRNA from 1 species
UUCCUGGGACGCUGUCAGGAGCUGUGGGCAUCUGAGAUGGACAGGAGGCCUGGAGCCCAGGGGCUGGGGUGUUCAGCGCUGCGACCUCGGGCAGGUCUCUGAGCGUGGCAUUCUAGUGUAAGAAACAAGAAUCCCUGGUGGGGGCCCCUCCAGGCCUCCAGUCCCCUCCCCAGGAGUCAAAUCACCGCGCAGGGAGAAAGCUUGGUUUUGCACUGACUAGUCUGUAUUUAUCGUUGCAAUGCCCCACCCCUUCCUGAAAAUUAUUUCCCCCACCCCAGGGCAAGGCUGUGAGUCCUGUGGUGGGGAGGGGUCCCUUUGGGGGGGGGGCGUGCCCUUGGAAUGCGGAAGUUCCCAGGCCACAGGGAUCGAAUCCCGAAACCUCAUGGAUACUAGUUGGGUUUUUAGCCUGCUGGGCCACACCGGGAACUCCUGCUCUGCCUGUUCUUCAGUGAAGCAGUGGCUGUUUUUGAGCAGAAAAGGUGUAAGAAAGCACACACUGGAGGGUGGUUUUGUAAAGUAAGCACAUUUUGUACUUUUCUUUCUUUUUUUUGGUCUUUUUGUCUUUUUAGGCCGCAUUUGAGGCAUAUGGAGGUUCCCAGGCUAGGGGCUGAAUUGGAGCUGUAGCUGCUGGCGUACACCACAACCACAGCAACUCAGGAUCCGAGCCGUGUCUGCGACCUGCACCACAGCUCACAGCAACGCCAGAUCCUUAGCUCACUGAGCAAGGCCAGGGAUUGAACCCACGUCCUGAUGGAUGCUAGUUGGGUUCGUUAACCACUGAGCCACGACGGAAACUCCACGUUUUGUGCUUUUCAAAGGCUGGGGAAGGAAAGACGUGAAGGCACGAAGGCGGGGAGUGGAGGAGAAAUGAGAAGCGGGGUUCACUGUCCCAGCAUCGGGGCAAAGCGUCAUGCUGAGGGGGGCAGAUGUUACCACCUCGUCCUUAAAGGAAGCCCCGAGCUUGAUGCACGCAAGGGUCCGAGUCCCUGGCUGGUGCGCACACCCCAUGGGGCCGGUUGUGGGCGGUGGGCAGUGAGCUCAGGACGGGAGUCCCCUUGAACUCUGGCUAAAACCAUUUGGUGAAACCGGCUGGAGGAGACGACCUCUUGGGGGGCCAGGAGGCUCCUGGUUCAUCACAGGUUCAUUGAGGUGGAUUUACAGAGACUUUGCGGAGAACCGGAGGCGUGCAGAAGACCAAGCCUGGAGUGGGAGCCCGGCCCUACUGUCCUGCCUCCUCUAGGAGGAGGUCGUACCUGCCGUUUGUCCUCCUUCUAGGGUCAGGCGCUAAACACGCAGCGCCUUUCCUCUGACCCUUGUCCCCGGGAUGUCCCCGGGUUACGUGACGGGCCUACACUCCCUGGCUCUCUCCAGUCUUUGGGGUCCCCACACAUCCCUGGGGACCCAGUGUCCCUUGGGUCCCAGGCCCCGUCUUCCACCCCCUCAUUGUCCCAGGAAUAGACUGUGCUGCCACUGGCGAGACGGACUCACAGGCUCCUGGGGGUCGUCAGGAAGGACUGGCAGGGCCUCUGAGGCCCGCUGUGUCCUGCUGCCCCGCCAGGUGUGGGCUGGGGCAGAAGCUGGCUGGGGGUGGGUAGGGAAGAGGAAGGAGGGCUGGCCAGCAAGGGUUUGCCCCGGGGUCCAGGUGCGGGGCCAGUAUCUGGAGAUGGUACCUGGGCCUCCAGUGGCCAGCACGUCCCCUGUGCUGUACAGCAGGAUCUCAUUGCUUAUCCACUCCAAAUGCAAGAGUUCGCCUCGACGAACCCCAAACUCCCAGUCCAUCCCCUCCCCUCCCCUCCCCCUUGGCAACCACAAGUCUGUUCUCCGAGUCCAUGAGUUUGUUUCUUUUCUGUAGACAGGGCCACUGUGCUACCUAUUAGAUUCCACAUGUAAGUGACAGCAUAGGAUAUGGGUCUUUCUCUUUCUGACUUAUUUCCACUUAGUAUGAGACUCUCUAGUUCCAUCCAUGUGGCUGCAAAUGGUGUUAUUUUGUGGGUUUUUUUAUGGCUGAGUAGGGAGGCAAUGUACUUUUGCAAGUGCUUUAGGUGGCUCCUGGGACCCCCUUGGUUGGCACUGGCGUCCCAGAGCCACGGAUGAGUGUGACUGGCCUGUGGUGGGUCUUAGGUGUGAUGAGGAUGGAGGGGUGAAGAUGGGAGUCAUUUGCCCAGAGAGUCGGGUGACCCCCCCGCAGACGCUGGUGCUGGGUGCACCUGCCGGCAGACAGGCCCUCCAGGCUUGGCUUCCGGGGACCUCCGAUUUGGGCCCCCAUGCCCCUCACUCACAUCUGGUCAUACCUGGUCAAGAGCAUGUUCAGGCUGUGCCUCCGUGUGAGCACACUCAGCUACACUCAGCUACAGAGCCAUGCUCUCUAGGCGGACAGGUCUGUCAAAGGCCAUGGCCCCCUGGUCUCGGCUCAAGGUUCCUCUUUAUAACAAAUUAGGGGUGGUAUUUUUGAGAUGAUGUGGCUCUUCUCCAGAGAGUGACAGGGGCGGAAUGGUGGGUUAUGUUCGCUUCAAGUUUCCAUGGCAAGUGGAGGCUAAAUCCUUUACUCUCUCUAUACCCAACCCCUCCGUCCUAUUUACAGGAGCUCCUCUCCUGCCGCCUCCCCACCCGGUCCGUCAGGUGAGGGAGGGUGCCUUGAGACCCUGCAGGCAUCUGCAUCUUCCGUGUGUUCUUUUAUUAAUUUAUGUCUAUCAGUAGGACUCAUGCACUCAUGGAUUCCUAUGUAAUUCAACGGGUUAUAGUCUGGUAUUAUCACUGUUUAUUUCAAUGUCCCCAGGUUUGGCCGGGGGCCGCCUCUGCAGCCCAGACUCAGUGCCCCUGUGUGGUAGCCUGGUCAUUCUGGGAGCAUCCCUUUACCUUUGGGC